rnacentral:rRNA from 1 species
UACGGGGGGGGCAAGCGUUGUUCGGAAUUACUGGGCGUAAAGGGCUCGUAGGCGGCCAACUAAGUCAGAUGUGAAAUCCCUCGGCUUAACCGGGGAACUGCGUCUGAUACUGGAUGGCUUGAGGUUGGGAGAGGGAUGCGGAAUUCCAGGUGUAGCGGUGAAAUGCGUAGAUAUCUGGAGGAACACCGGUGGCGAAGGCGGCAUCCUGGACCAAUUCUGACGCUGAGGAGCGAAAGCCAGGGGAGCAAACGGG